rnacentral:rRNA from 1 species
CUGCGAACGGCUCAUUACAACAGAUAUAAUCUACUUGUUCUUUGACUUAAAUGGAUAACUGCGGUAAUUCUGGAGCCAAUACAUGCGAAAAGCCGUGGUCUUCGGAUCGCGGUGCUAUUAUUGGAGCAAAACUAUUCGUUAGUCCUUUUGCUAACUCUGGAUAAUACUGCGUAUCGCACGACCUCGUGUCGGCGAAGAUUCAUUCGAGUAUCUGCCCUAUCAACUGGUUGGCAGUGUAUUGGACUGCCAUGGUUCUAACGGGUAACGGAGGAUCAGGGUCUGACUCCGGAGAGGGAGCCUUAGAAACGGCUACCAUGUCUAAGGAUAGCAGCAGGCGCGAAAAUUACCCAAUAUCAAUACGAUGAGGUAGUGACGAGAAAUAACGAGUCCGUUCUCUUUGAGGUCGGACAUUGGAAUGGGUACAAUCUAGACAAUUUAACGAGUAUCUACGAGAGGGCAAGUCUGGUGCCAGCAGCCGCGGUAAUUCCAGCUCUCGUAAUACAUAGAAUUAUUGUUGCGGUUAAAAAGUUCAUAGUUGGAUUGUUGAACCGUCCUGGGUGCGUCCUAACGGGCGUCACUCGUGGGCGGUAUUUUGCGCGUUUGUGUGCGUUCGGCUUUUGGUUGGGCGUACGCUGCGCGCAGGAUUACUUUGAACGGCUUAAGUGCUCAAGGCGGGUCUUAUGACUGAAUACCGGUGCAUGGAAUAAUGGAACAAGGUUGCGGCCGAGUUUUAUUGGUUUUGUCGGCUGAAACAAUGGUUAAAAGGAACAGCCGGGGGCAUUCGUAUCGCUGCGCGAGAGUGAAAUUCGGGGACCGUAGCGAGACGCACUAAAGCGAAGGCAUUUGCCAAGAGUGUUUUCAUUAAUCAAGAACGAAAGUCAGAGGUUCGAAGGCGAUUAGAUACCGCCCUAGUUCUGACCGUAAAUGAUGCCAACUACCAAUCCGCUCGUGGAUUCAAUUAUUGAGCGGGCGGGUUUCCGGAAACGAAAGUUUUUCGGUUCCGGGGGAAGUAUGGUUGCAAAGCUGAAACUUAAAGGAAUUGACGGAAGGGCACCACCAGGAGUGGAGCUUGCGGCUUAAUUUGACUCAACACGGGAAACCUCACCCGGCCAGCACAUCGUAAGGAUUGACAGACCGAUAGCUCUUUCAUGAUUCGGUGGAUGGUGGUGCAUGGCCGUUCUUAGUUCGUGCUAGUUUUGAAGUGUCUGCUUAAUUGCGAUAACGAGCGAGACGCCAACUGUUAACUAGUGCGUCGAUUGGUUCGCUUGUCGACGAACACUUCUUAGCGGGAUUCGUGGCCUUUAGCCACAAGAAAUGGCGCAAUAACAGGUCUGUGAUGCCCUUAGAUGUUCGGGGCCGCACGCGUGCUACAAUGGUGGUAUCAGCGUGAUUGUCCUACUCCGACAGGAGAUGGCAAACAGUUGAGAUAUUAUUAUGGCUGGAAUUGAGUGUUGAAAUUUUCACUCAUGAACGAGGAAUUCCAAGUAAAUGCGAGUCAUCAACUCGCAUUGAUUACGUCCCUGCCCUUUGUACACACCGCCCGUCGCUCCCCGGGACUGAGUUGUUUCGAGAAAUCCACGGACCGGUGCCGCUGCGUGUUUCGGCAUGCGUGGCGCUGGAAAGUGGCUUAAUCGCAACGGCUUGAACCGGGGAAAAGUCGUAACAAGGUUGCAGUAGGUGAACCUGCUGCAAGAUCAGGUAUCGAAUAAGUACAUAAAAUAAGUUGCUCGGUGUUACGUCCACCUUGCACGAUGAAGAGACAAGAAGCGUCUAUAUUCGGAGGUCUCCGUGAAGCGCUUACUUGUUCUCGAAGCUGGUCUCCGCGGAGAUUUCAGUAGUAGAACGAACGGCUUCUCUGGGCCUCUAUGUUGGAUUGAGCUGUUGUGUUACACGUCCGUGGCUGAACCAAGUCCCAACGAUCGCGCCAAUGUCGU